rnacentral:rRNA from 1 species
AUUGAACGCUGGCGGCAUGCCUUACACAUGCAAGUCGAACGGUAACAGGUCUUCGGAUGCUGACGAGUGGCGAACGGGUGAGUAAUACAUCGGAGCGUGCCUAGUAGUGGGGGAUAACUACUCGAAAGAGUGGCUAAUACCGCAUGAGAUCUACGGAUGAAAGCAGGGGAUCGCAAGACCUUGUGCUACUAGAGCGGCCGAUGGCAGAUUAGGUAGUUGGUGGGAUAAAAGCUUACCAAGCCGACGAUCUGUAGCUGGUCUGAGAGGACGAUCAGCCACACUGGGGCUGGGACACGGCCCAGACUCCUACGGGAGGCAGCAGUGGGGAAUUUGGACAAUGGGCGCAAGCCUGAUUCAGCAAUGCCGCGUGCAGGAUGAAGGCCUUCGGGUUGUAAACUGCUUUUGUACGGAACGAAAAGCCCUGGGUUAAUACCCUGGGGUCAUGACGGUACCGUAAGAAUAAGCACCGGCUAACUACGUGCCAGCCGCCGCAGUAAUAC